AAUUAGAACCCUGAUCCUCUCCUUAAAAGGCUGCCCGCAGGCAACAGACUUAGUGGGGAGUGAGACUCUCAUUUCGUGUUUGAACUAAACUGGCUUACUAUACUGCAGUUGCAGAACUAUUUGUCUUGGCAGAAGAGAGACUGAAAGAGCCGGAUCCUCUUUGUGGGAGAAGUGUGAUCUGAGAUGCAAGACAGGCAAGGAGUGAUACUAAACUUGCAAAGAGGGAUGCAAGCCAUGCAAAGAGAGAUGCAAGACAUACAAAGAGGGAUGCAAGACUUACAAAGAGGAAUGCAAGCCAUGCAAAGAGGGAUGCAAGAUGUACAAAGAGAGAUGAAAGAUAUACAAGGAGGGAUGCAAGCCAUGGAAAGAGGAAUGCAAGACAUACAAAGUGAGAUGCUGGGUAUGGGAAAAGACAUUCAAGGGUUUCAGAAAUGGCUUGAGAAAGGACAGUUUAAGAUUCCAGAGUCACAAAUGAAAUAAGGAGCAAAACCUCUGAGGUUCCAUGGGGACAAGGGAAGCAACAAGGAAUGUCCAGAGAGCAUCACACAGAUUCACAAGAAGCAAGAAUUUCUGCAACACAGUAUGGCCCACAACUACUAAAAUUUGCAAGACAUUGAGGAAGACUUCCAAUGAAAACUUCCAAAGAAUUAUAGAAAGUCAAAAGCACAUAUGCAGAAACAUGCAGGAAACAUAUCAAAGAUUGCAACAAAGGCUACAACAAAAGAGUGGGAACCUAACUGUGAUGCAGCAAAAGAUGAUCCUGGGAAAAGACUAUAGAUUCAUUUUAUCAACAUAUGCAGUAUUACAUGAGAGUUGUUGGAUAUGCAACAAAAAAAUUGUACAAUAUUCACAAGAGACAAAAAAAGCAUCAUAGAGAGUAAUGAAAAGGGGGGGCAGUGGUCUCUGAGUUUUACAGAGAGAAUACCUGAUCUAGAAACACUGACUAAUUAUAGAGCAGGAAAAAGGAAAUGACAUUCAACUAUUCUGUCCCUCAUUUUAUUCAAGUUCUAAUCUGCCUUUCUUCACUGGGUGGUGGUGGUGGUUUUCUUAUAUGUGCCUUAAUAUAUAAUCUAAAUUCUAGAUACUCAGUUUGGACAAAGGUUUUCAGUUUGCUUUGAGUGACCUAUCAAAAAGCAACAUAACAACGUGCACAUUAGCACAAUGCUUUAGAUGAUUGGGGGAGGGUCUGUUCUUUCCUGUUAACUUAGUCACAAAUGCCAUUGGCUUUACAAGUUCACAUGGAUUUCUUGUCCAUCACGGAAUGUUUAUAUAAUGGGAAUCAUUACAUUUUGCCAUUAAACCAUCAUGCCCACUGAAU